rnacentral:misc_RNA from 1 species
AAGUCGUAACAAGGUUUCCGUAGGUGAACCUGCGGAAGGAUCAUUACUGAAUUGUCAACACGAGUUGUUGCUGGUCCUCAAAUGGGGGCAUGUGCACGCUCUGUUUACACAUCCACUCACACCUGUGCACCCUCUGUAGUUCUGUGGCUGGGGGGACUCUGUCCUUCUGCUGCGGUUCUAUGUCUUUACACACACUCUGUAUUAAAGUCUCAUGGAAUGUAUCCUGCGUUUAACGCAAUACAAUACAACUUUCAGCAACGGAUCUCUUGGCUCUC